rnacentral:rRNA from 1 species
CGCGUGGGAAUAUGCCCUUCUCUACGGAAUAGCCAUUGGAAACGAUGAGUAAUACCGUAUACGCCCUUUGGGGAAGAUUAUCGGAGAAGGAUUAGCCCGCGUUAGAUUAGAUAGUUGGUGGGGUAAGUGGCCUACCAAGUCUACGAUCUAUAGCUGGUUUUAGUAGGAUGAUCAGCAACACUGGGACUGAGACACGGCCCAGACUCCUACGGGAGGCAGCAGUGGGGAAUCUUAGACAAUGGGGCGCAAGCCUGAUCUAGCCAUGCCGCGUGAGUGAUGAAGGCCUUAGGGUCGUAAAGC